AUUGAACGCUGGCGGCAGGCCUAACACAUGCAAGUCGAACGGUAACAGGAAGCAGCUUGCUGCUUCGCUGACGAGUGGCGGACGGGUGAGUAAUGUCUGGGAAACUGCCUGAUGGAGGGGGAUAACUACUGGAAACGGUAGCUAAUACCGCAUAACGUCGCAAGACCAAAGAGGGGGACCUUAGGGCCUCUUGCCAUCGGAUGUGCCCAGAUGGGAUUAGCUAGUAGGUGGGGUAACGGCUCACCUAGGCGACGAUCCCUAGCUGGUCUGAGAGGAUGACCAGCCACACUGGAACUGAGCCACGGUCCAGACUCCUCCGGGAGGCAGCAGUGGGGAAUAUUGCACAAUGGGCGCAAGCCUGAUGCAGCCAUGCCGCGUGUAUGAAGAAGGCCUUCGGGUUGUAAAGUACUUUCAGCGGGGAGGAAGGGAGUAAAGUUAAUACCUUUGCUCAUUGACGUUACCCGCAGAAGAAGCACCGGCUAACUCCGUG
rnacentral:rRNA from 1 species